AUUGAACGCUGGCGGCAUGCUUUACACAUGCAAGUCGAACGGCAGCACGGGUGCUUGCACCUGGUGGCGAGUGGCGAACGGGCGAGUAAUACAUCGGAACGUACCUGAUAGUGGGGGAUAACGCUUCGAAAGGAGUGCUAAUACCGCAUAAGCCCCGAGGGGGAAAGUGGGGGACCAGCAAUGGCCUCACGCUAACAGAGCGGCCGAUGGCUGAUUAGCUAGUUGGUGAGGUAAAGGCUCACCAAGGCGACGAUCAGUAGCGGGUCUUAGAGGACGAUCCGCCACACUGGAACUGAGACACGGUCCAGACUCCUACGGGAGGCAGCAGUGGGGAAUCUUGGACAAUGGGCGCAAGCCUGAUCCAGCAAUGCCGCGUGGGUGAAGAAGGCCUUCGGGUUGUAAAGCCCUUUUGUUUGGGAGCAAAGCUUACCUAAUGACACUAGGUGAGGAUGAGAGUACCAAAAGAAUCAGCACCGGCUAACUACGUGCCAGCCGCCGCAGUAA
rnacentral:rRNA from 1 species